CUCAAACAGCUCGUGACUUCUCUGCAACAGCCAAGCUUACCUGCACAGAUCCAAGUAGCAAAGCCUGCUCCAUCAAAUCAAAUUACUAGAAUGCUCAAACAAGAUGAUCCUCUCUUCUUUUUGUGUGUUCUUGCAGGUGCAAAUGGCUGUCUGUCCUGCAACUCCCAGGAACCUCAAGCACACCAACAAGCACGAGCACCACAUCAAGCACAGCAACUCCCAACACUUUCAGCUCAACAACAGGCAACACGACGGAUGGAUCGUUACGCCUUUCGUGCGGGAACAAUCAGCAGCAGGGAUGGUAGUAACGGAGGUUUGCUUCCAAUGGCAGGAGUAGUCUGUCUUCUAUGAUCUGAAAGCUACACUUUUUGGUGAUCGGAUCCACGAAAGUUAAGCGUUGGGAUCACAGGUUUUC